rnacentral:ncRNA from 1 species
AUAAGGUCAGUGAUGAGGAGAGUAUCCAUCUGCGGAACGCCAGCGAGUCAGGGAGGGUGGAAGCCUGACAGGGAAGCAUGUGGAGAAGCGCACCUCGGAGACGCCGCCUGAACGUGAUCGAUCGUAGGGCGCGCCGGGUCUGCCCGUUACAGCAGACGCAUAAGUUGGCUCGUGCAGGACACGGGCAACAAGAGUGGCACCGCGGGAGCAACGCUCUCGUCUCUUUU